GCUGAUUUACCAGCCACUUGCAUAUUUGACAAGCAUUUGGCUGGUAAAUGGUGCUAAUUUUGGACCCUGCACACGUACAUAAAAAUA